UACCAGCUCUCCGAGUGGUAGGGAUGUUUAUUGGGCUUAAAGCGUCCGUAGCCGGCUUAGCAAGUCUCCUGUUAAAUUCAGCGACCUAAUCGUUGAGCCGCGGGAGAUACUACUAGGCUAGGAGGCGGGAGAGGUCAACGGUACUUCCGGGGUAGGGGUGAAAUCCUGUAAUCCCGGGAGGACCACCAGUGGCGAAGGCUGUUGACUAGAACGCGCUCGACGGUGAGGGACGAAAGCUGGGGGAGCGAACCGGAUUAGAUACCCGGGUAGUCCCAGCUGUAACGAUGCGAGCUAGGUGUUGGGGUGGCUACGUGCCACUUCAGUGCCGCAGGGAAGCCAUUAAGCUCGCCGCCUGGGGAGUACGGCCGCAAGGCUGAAACUUAAAGGAAUUGGGCGGGGGAGCACCACAAGGCGUGAAGCUUGCGGUUC
rnacentral:rRNA from 1 species